rnacentral:lncRNA from 1 species
AUGCGACUGUCACCUGGGAUGGCGACAUUUUUCGCUGGGAUGGCGAAAAAGCCAAACCUUUUUCUUUUCCACAACUGUGAUGUCUGGUGUGUUGUGUUCCAGAACUUUGUCAUUCUGGAACACAACACACCAGACAUCACAGUUGUGGAAAAGAAAAAGGUUUGGAUCAUUGAUGUCGCCAUCCCAGGUGACAGUCGGAUUGAUGAAAAACAACAGGAAAAACUCAGACGCUAUCAGGACCUCAAGAUUGAACUUCAAAGACUCUGGCAGAAACCAGUGCAGGUGGUCCCGGUGGUGAUGGGCACAUUGGGUGCCGUGCCAAAAGAUCUCAGCCGGCAUUUGGAAACAAUAGACAUUGACAAAAUUACGACCUGCCAACUGCAAAAGGCCACCCAACUGGGUUCUGCACGCAUCAUCCGAAAAUACAUCACACAGUCCUAGACACUUGGGAAGUGUUCGACUUGUGAUUUUGUGAUACGAAAUCCAGCAUAUCUAUCUUGUUUGCUGUGUCAGACUAUAAUAAUAAUAACUUAUUUUUAUACCCUGCCUCCAUCUCCCUGAACAUCCCACUUGUGAACACCCUGCACACACAGACCUUGCAUUAUUUUCCUGCUCUCUUGUAUUCUUUCUAUGCUUCCAGUUUCCAGUUGCCAGCCAGACUACAGCACUCAUCAUCUGAUGUUGCGUCAUCCUGCCGAUGAACAGAUUAUGUCAGUUCAGUUCAGUUCGGAUUGUCUUUUCCCCAUCACCCCUUCAAUCUCUCUUUUAUCUGCCCAUUAAAAUGCCUUUGCAGGAUUUACAGAGCUCUGAUUUUUUCCCAGAAGGUUUGGCUGUCCAUCAGAAACCUGUCCUUCUCCCUAUGUGGGGCAUACUUCUAUCAUCUCAUGACAGCUCCUUUAAGGCCAGUUCUUUUACACCGACACUGCAAAAAAUGCCACUAGAAUUUCAUUUUAUUUUCAAAGGCUUUCAUGGCCGGAAUCACUGGGUUGCUGUGAGUCUUUCGGGCUGUAUGGCCAUGUUCCAGAAGCUUUCUCUCCUGCCGUUUCACCCACAUCUGUGGAAGCCAUCCUUGGAUACCUCACAACCUCUGAGGUUGAAGCUCUCCUAUUGUAGGUUUCAUUAACUGGUUAAAAAGGCUACUUCUGGAUCAGAUUUGGG